rnacentral:tRNA from 1 species
ACCUGGCUGGCUCAGUCAGUGGAGCAUGUGACUCCUGAUCUCGGGGUUGUGGGUUCAAGUCCCACAAUGGGUG